AGCCUUUCACUGUCACAGUCAAUGGCUAGGAACAGAAUAAGCUCUGGAGAAAGAGUGGAGUGUUUGAGUUCAACUGGAUGGCUAAACUACCCAGUCAGCAAUAGAAAAUGGACGUGGUUGCUGUCCCUGACAUCAGAUAGAUGAGCGAAGUAUUAGAUGCAAAGGAAUCAAAGAGCUCUGAGUGAGGUACAUAUGUGUGAGAGAAAAAAUGUUAUCUGUAAAAAGCACAAAAGAAGUUAUCUUGACUUAUAUGACUUUUUGUAUCAAG